rnacentral:hammerhead_ribozyme from 1 species
AUCCAUCUGACGAGUCAGUUCCAAAUAGAACGAAAUGCACAUCCUGGAU